UACGUAGGGUGCAAGCGUUGUCCGGAAUUAUUGGGCGUAAAGAGCUCGUAGGCGGCUUGUUGCGUCGGCUGUGAAAUCCCGGGGCUUAACUCCGGGCGUGCAGCCGAUACGGGCAGGCUAGAGUCCGGUAGGGGAGACUGGAAUUCCUGGCGUAGCGGUGAAAUGCGCAGAUAUCAGGAGGAACACCGGUGGCGAAGGCGGGUCUCUGGGCCGGUACUGACGCUAAGGAGCGAAAGCGUGGGGAGCGAACAGG
rnacentral:rRNA from 1 species